rnacentral:rRNA from 1 species
GUGGGGAAUAUUGGACAAUGGGCGAAAGCCUGAUCCAGCCAUGCCGCGUGUGUGAAGAAGGUCUUCGGAUUGUAAAGCACUUUAAGUUGGGAGGAAGGGCAGUAAGUUAAUACCUUGCUGUUUUGACGUUACCGACAGAAUAAGCACCGGCUAACUUCGUGCCAGCAGCCGCGGUAAUACGAAGGGUGCAAGCGUUAAUCGGAAUUACUGGGCGUAAAGCGCGCGUAGGUGGUUUUGUAAGUUGGAGGUGAAAUCCCCGGGCUCAACCUGGGAACUGCCUCCAAAACUGCAUGACUAGAGUACAGUAGAGGGUAGUGGAAUGUCCUGUGUAGCGGUGAAAUGCGUAGAUAUAGGAAGGAACACCAGUCGCGAAGGCGACUACCUGGACUGAUACUGACACUGAGGUGCGAAAGCGUGGGGAGCAAACAGGAUUAGAUACCCCGGUAGUCC